UACGAAGGGGGCUAGCGUUGUUCGGAAUCACUGGGCGUAAAAGCGCACGUAGGCGGAUGUGCCAGUCAGGGGUGAAAUCCCGGAGCUCAACUCCGGAACUGCCUCUGAUACAGCACGUCUCGAGUUUCGAGAGAGGUGGGUGGAAUUCCUAGUGUAGAGGUGAAAAUUCGUAGAUAUUAGGAAGAACACCAGUGGCGAAGGCGGCUCACUGGUCCGGUACUGACGCUGAGGUGCGAAAAGCGUGGGGGAGCAAACAGG
rnacentral:rRNA from 1 species